rnacentral:rRNA from 1 species
CACCGCGGUUAUACGAGAGGCCCAAGUUGAUAGCCAUCGGCGUAAAGAGUGGUUAAGAAAACCCCUAAAACUAAAGCUGAACACUCUCAAAACUGUUAUACGUACCCGAGAGCAAGAAGCCCUUCUACGAAAGUGGCUUUAACCCUUCUGAACCCACGAAAGCUGGGGAA